GCGCGAGUGGCGGAAUUGGCAGACGCGCUGGAUUUAGGUUCCAGUGUCCGAGGACGUGGGGGUUCAAGUCCCCCCUCGCGCACCG
rnacentral:tRNA from 1 species